rnacentral:misc_RNA from 1 species
AUUUGAAUGAUCUUGUUUUUUUUAAAGAUAAUUUUGCACCGUCCUCUUUGCGUUGGAGAAAGCUGAUGCAAACUUGAUAAAUAAAACAAGAUCAUUCAAAUACAGGAGAAACUGGGCAAACCUUUCCUAUAAUGCUUCCAUUUUCAUACAUAAUCAAUGUUCAAAAUAGUACUGGUGUGCUAGAUAGUUCAGCAUAUCAUCAAUGCUGGUCUUCAGUAACUAAGUGAAGCUAACAACAGAAAGCUAAUAGGAACUUUUGAUCAAAAAACUACACAUACUCCCUUGUUCGCUCCCACCCCUUUCCUAUUCCCUUUUGCCCCUCUCCACUGAGGCCAAUGUCUUAAAAGUUUUUUUUGCUGUAAUGUUGAAACUAAAUAAUUGUUGUGCAUUU